rnacentral:tRNA from 1 species
CCACGAUGGCUCAGUUGGUAGAGCAUCUGCCCGGUAAGCGGAAGGUCGUCGGUUUGAUUUCGGCUCGCUGAG